rnacentral:rRNA from 1 species
GCAGCAGCCGCGGGAAUACGUAGGUGGCAAGCGUUGUCCGGAAUUAUUGGGCGUAAAGGGCUCGCAGGCGGUUUCUUAAGUCUGAUGUGAAAGCCCCCGGCUCAACCGGGGAGGGUCAUUGGAAACUGGGAAACUUGAGUGCAGAAGAGGAGAGUGGAAUUCCACGUGUAGCGGUGAAAUGCGUAGAGAUGUGGAGGAACACCAGUGGCGAAGGCGACUCUCUGGUCUGUAACUGACGCUGAGGAGCGAAAGCGUGGGGAGCGAACAGGAUUAGAUACCCCGGAGUCCCUGUCUCUUAUACA